rnacentral:rRNA from 1 species
CCUACGGGAGGCAGCAGUGGGGAAUAUUGCGCAAUGGGCGAAAGCCUGACGCAGCGACGCCGCGUGAGGGAUGAAGGUCUUCGGAUCGUAAACCUCUGUCAGCAGGGAAGAACGGUCACUGUGCUAAUCAGCAGUGAAUUGACGGUACCUGCAAAGGAAGCACCGGCUAACUCCGUGCCAGCAGCCGCGGUAAUACGGAGGGUGCGAGCGUUAAUCGGAAUUACUGGGCGUAAAGCGCUCGUAGGCGGUAUGUCAAGUCAAGGGUGAAAUCCCCGCGCUCAACGUGGGAACUGCCUUUGAAACUGGCAAACUGGAGUGUGUGAGAGGAUAGUGGAAUUCCAGGUGUAGGGGUGAAAUGCGUAGAUAUCUGGAGGAACAUCGGUGGCGAAGGCGACUAUCUGGCACAUAACUGACGCUGAGGAGCGAAAGCGUGGGUAGCAAACAGGAUUAGAUACCCUUGUAGUC